CCAGGUGUCCAAGAAUAAAAUUUUUACAAACUUUACUUGUAGGCAGUAGGUUGAGAAGAAUGGACUAGAGUGUGCAGACACUAGACACAACAUUGAAGAAAGAUAAAGGGGAAGACAUGCUGCUGGGGAGGAUAACUUCAGGAGCUUAACGUUUUGUGAUUCUCCUAAAGCAAUACCUAGAAGGCAGUGGUGACAUAAAGGAGAUCAGCUGUCUGCUCUGCAUUCAAGAAAUAAAUGACAUGAAAUAAAUAAAUGAUGUAGUUUUAAAAAAUGGUAUACCCUAUGCACUAUGAUCCUCUCCUUUAAUUAAACUCUCCAUAAACUUUGGUAACA